UGAAAAGAUCUCAGUUGUCAAGGAACUAUUUUUCUUGCCAUCGUCGCAGAGAUGCCUUUGAAAAAGCGGAAGGGCACGGAGGUUUCGGUCUUGUUUUUGGCACCUGCGUGGUAUCAUGGGAACGUGGCGGGGCGGUGAGUGACGUGAGGGGGCGUGACGACCAGACCGGGAGGCGUUGCCCGCGCGGGAGAAAAGGGACUCCGCAGAUUCACAUCACAAGGAAUACUAAAGGACAUUCUCCACACUGAAGGAAAAUGAUCCUAAAGAGAAACACAGAUCUGUAAGAAGAAAUGAAGAGCACUGGUAAAGUGUGUGGAAACAGACUGAGGUCAUCAUCAGAAGCAAAUGCUAGCACCAUGCUUCUUGGAGAGCCUGCAGAACUGUGAGCCAAAUAACCUCUUUUCUUUAUAAAUUACCCAGCCUCAGGUGUUCAUUCAUGGCAACACAAAAGGUCUAAGACAUUAUUGUAAGGUUUUAGACAUCUUACAGUAUGUAUAAGAUGUGGUGAAAUACUAAUUCAAAGCACAGACAGUCCGUGACUACAGUGGUUUGACUUACAAUUUUUCAGCUUUACAAUGAGUUCAUUGGGAUGAUUAAAUGCAUUUUCAACUUAA